rnacentral:rRNA from 1 species
GGGUUGUGAGGUUAAGCGACUAAGCGUACACGGUGGAUGCCCUGGCAGUCAGAGGCGAUGAAGGACGUGCUAAUCUGCGAUAAGCGCCGGUAAGGUGAUAUGAACCGUUAUAACCGGCGAUACCCGAAUGGGGAAACCCAGUGUGAUUCGUCACACUAUCAUUAACUGAAUCCAUAGGUUAAUGAGGCGAACCGGGGGAACUGAAACAUCUAAGUACCCCGAGGAAAAGAAAUCAACCGAGAUUCCCCCAGUAGCGGCGAGCGAACGGGGAGGAGCCCAGAGCCUGAAUCAGCAUGUGUGUUAGUGGAAGCGUCUGGAAAGGCGCGCGAUACAGGGUGACAGCCCCGUACACAAAAGCGCAUGUGCUGUGAGCUCGAUGAGUAGGGCGGGACACGUGGUAUCCUGUCUGAAUAUGGGGGGACCAUCCUCCAAGGCUAAAUACUCCUGACUGACCGAUAGUGAACCAGUACCGUGAGGGAAAGGCGAAAAGAACCCCGGCGAGGGGAGUGAAAAAGAACCUGAAACCGUGUACGUACAAGCAGUGGGAGCACCCUUCGGGGUGUGACUGCGUACCUUUUGUAUAAUGGGUCAGCGACUUAUAUUCUGUAGCAAGGUUAACCGUAUAGGGGAGCCGGAGGGAAACCGAGUCUUAAUUGGGCGUUAAGUUGCAGGGUAUAGACCCGAAACCCGGUGAUCUAGCCAUGGGCAGGUUGAAGGUUGGGUAACACUAACUGGAGGACCGAACCGACUAAUGUUGAAAAAUUAGCGGAUGACCUGUGGCUGGGGGUGAAAGGCCAAUCAAACCGGGAGAUAGCUGGUUCUCCCCGAAAGCUAUUUAGGUAGCGCCUCGUGAAUUCAUCUCCGGGGGUAGAGCACUGUUUCGGCUAGGGGGCCAUCCCGGCUUACCAACCCGAUGCAAACUGCGAAUACCGGAGAAUGUUAUCACGGGAGACACACGGCGGGUGCUAACGUCCGUCGUGAAGAGGGAAACAACCCAGACCGCCAGCUAAGGUCCCAAAGUCAUGGUUAAGUGGGAAACGAUGUGGGAAGGCCCAGACAGCCAGGAUGUUGGCUUAGAAGCAGCCAUCAUUUAAAGAAAGCGUAAUAGCUCACUGGUCGAGUCGGCCUGCGCGGAAGAUGUAACGGGGCUAAACCAUGCACCGAAGCUGCGGCAGCGAACGUAUCACCCAAGACAACUUUACGGAGUUGACGAUUGACGGAGCGAAGCGACGUCAAAGCGUUCAUUAAAGUCGAGUUGGCUUAGGGAUACGUUCGUUGGGUAGGGGAGCGUUCUGUAAGCCUGUGAAGGUGUGUCGUGAGGCAUGCUGGAGGUAUCAGAAGUGCGAAUGCUGACAUAAGUAACGAUAAAGCGGGUGAAAAGCCCGCUCGCCGGAAGACCAAGGGUUCCUGUCCAACGUUAAUCGGGGCAGGGUGAGUCGACCCCUAAGGCGAGGCCGAAAGGCGUAGUCGAUGGGAAACGGGUUAAUAUUCCCGUACUUGGUGUUACUGCGAAGGGGGGACGGAGAAGGCUAUGUUGGCCGGGCGACGGUUGUCCCGGUUUAAGCGUGUAGGUGUGUGUUCCAGGUAAAUCCGGUUCACUUUAACACUGAGGCGUGACGACGAGGCACUACGGUGCUGAAGCAACAAAUGCCCUGCUUCCAGGAAAAGCCUCUAAGCAUCAGGUAACACGAAAUCGUACCCCAAACCGACACAGGUGGUCAGGUAGAGAAUACCAAGGCGCUUGAGAGAACUCGGGUGAAGGAACUAGGCAAAAUGGUGCCGUAACUUCGGGAGAAGGCACGCUGACACGUAGGUGAAGUGAUUUACUCAUGGAGCUGAAGUCAGUCGAAGAUACCAGCUGGCUGCAACUGUUUAUUAAAAACACAGCACUGUGCAAACACGAAAGUGGACGUAUACGGUGUGACGCCUGCCCGGUGCCGGAAGGUUAAUUGAUGGGGUCAGCGUAAGCGAAGCUCCUGAUCGAAGCCCCGGUAAACGGCGGCCGUAACUAUAACGGUCCUAAGGUAGCGAAAUUCCUUGUCGGGUAAGUUCCGACCUGCACGAAUGGCGUAAUGAUGGCCAGGCUGUCUCCACCCGAGACUCAGUGAAAUUGAACUCGCUGUGAAGAUGCAGUGUACCCGCGGCAAGACGGAAAGACCCCGUGAACCUUUACUAUAGCUUGACACUGAACAUUGAGCCUUGAUGUGUAGGAUAGGUGGGAGGCUUUGAAGUGUGGACGCCAGUCUGCAUGGAGCCGACCUUGAAAUACCACCCUUUAAUGUUUGAUGUUCUAACGUGGACCCGUAAUCCGGGUUGCGGACAGUGUCUGGUGGGUAGUUUGACUGGGGCGGUCUCCUCCUAAAGAGUAACGGAGGAGCACGAAGGUUGGCUAAUCCUGGUCGGACAUCAGGAGGUUAGUGCAAUGGCAUAAGCCAGCUUGACUGCGAGCGUGACGGCGCGAGCAGGUGCGAAAGCAGGUCAUAGUGAUCCGGUGGUUCUGAAUGGAAGGGCCAUCGCUCAACGGAUAAAAGGUACUCCGGGGAUAACAGGCUGAUACCGCCCAAGAGUUCAUAUCGACGGCGGUGUUUGGCACCUCGAUGUCGGCUCAUCACAUCCUGGGGCUGAAGUAGGUCCCAAGGGUAUGGCUGUUCGCCAUUUAAAGUGGUACGCGAGCUGGGUUUAGAACGUCGUGAGACAGUUCGGUCCCUAUCUGCCGUGGGCGCUGGAGAACUGAGGGGGGCUGCUCCUAGUACGAGAGGACCGGAGUGGACGCAUCACUGGUGUUCGGGUUGUCAUGCCAAUGGCACUGCCCGGUAGCUAAAUGCGGAAGAGAUAAGUGCUGAAAGCAUCUAAGCACGAAACUUGCCCCGAGAUGAGUUCUCCCUGAGACUUAGAGUCUCCUGAAGGAACGUUGAAGACGACGACGUUGAUAGGCCGGGUGUGUAAGCGCAGCGAUGCGUUGAGCUAACCGGUACUAAUGAACCGUGAGGCUUAACCUUACAACGCCGAAG